AUGUACCACGCGUGCACUCCGGUUUUGAGUGCGCCGCCCGUACCCAUCUGACGACUGCUCGCUAGGUUUUAUUAGCC
rnacentral:sRNA from 2 species